GCAAUGGUGGUUCAGUGGUAGAAUUCUUGCCUUUCGUUUGGGAGACCUGGGUUCAAUUCCCAGCCAAUCUA
rnacentral:tRNA from 1 species